rnacentral:tRNA from 1 species
GUGGCCAUAGCUCAGUUGGUUAGAGUAACGGAUUGUGGUUCCGUGGGUCGUGGGUUCGAACCCCAUUGGCCACC